GACGAACGCUGGCGGCGUGCUUAACACAUGCAAGUCGAACGGAAAGGCCCUGCCUUUGUGGGGUGCUCGAGUGGCGAACGGGUGAGUAACACGUGAGUAACCUGCCCUUGACUUUGGGAUAACUUCAGGAAACUGGGGCUAAUACCGGAUAGGAGCUCCUGCUGCAUGGUGGGGGAUGGAAAGUUUCGGCGGUUGGGGCUGGACUCGCGGCUUAUCAGCUUGUUGGUGGGGUAGUGGCUUACCAAGGCUUUGAAGGGUAGCCGGCCUGAGAGGGGGACCGGCCACAUUGGGACUGCGAUACGGCCCAGACGCCUACGGGAGGCAGCAGUGGGGAAUAUUGCACAAUGGGCGGAAGCCUGAUGCAGCAACGCCGCGUGCGGGAUGACGGCCUUCGGGUGGUAAACCGCUGUCGCCUGUGACGAAGCGUGAGUGACGGUAAUGGGUAAAGAAGCACCGGCUAACUACGUG
rnacentral:rRNA from 1 species